GACGAACGCUGGCGGCGUGCCUAAUACAUGCAAGUCGAACGCUGAAGGAGGAGCUUGCUUCUCUGGAUGAGUUGCGAACGGGUGAGUAACGCGUAGGUAACCUGCCUGGUAGCGGGGGAUAACUAUUGGAAACGAUAGCUAAUACCGCAUAAUAGUAGAUGUUGCAUGACAUUUGCCUAAAAGGUGCAAUUGCAUCACUACCAGAUGGACCUGCGUUGUAUUAGCUAGUUGGUGGGGUAACGGCUCACCAAGGCGACGAUACAUAGCCGACCUGAGAGGGUGAUCGGCCACACUGGGACUGAGACACGGCCCAGACUCCUACGGGAGGCAGCAGUAGGGAAUCUUCGGCAAUGGACGGAAGUCUGACCGAGCAACGCCGCGUGAGUGAAGAAGGGUUUCGGAUCGUAAAGCUCUGUUGUAAGAGAAGAACGAGUGUGAGAGUGGAAAGUUCACACUGUGACGGUAGCUUACCAGAAAGGGACGGCUAACUACGUG
rnacentral:rRNA from 1 species